rnacentral:rRNA from 1 species
UACAGAGGGUGCAAGCGUUGUUCGGAAUUAUUGGGCGUAAAGGGCGCGUAGGCGGUGCGGUAAGUCUUUUGUGAAAUCUCCGGGCUCAACUCGGAGUCUGCAAGAGAAACUGCCGUGCUGGAGUAUGGGAGAGGUGAGUGGAAUUCCCGGUGUAGCGGUGAAAUGCGUAGAUAUCGGGAAGAACACCUGUGGCGAAAGCGGCUCACUGGACCAUUACUGACGCUGAGGCGCGAAAGCUAGGGGAGCAAACAGG